rnacentral:rRNA from 1 species
CACGUAGGGCGCAAGCGUUGUCCGGAAUUAUUGGGCGUAAAGAGCUCGUAGGCGGUCUGUUGCGUCGGCUGUGAAAACCUGGGGCUCAACCCCGGGCCUGCAGCCGAUACGGGCAGACUAGAAUUCGGCAGGGGAGACUGGAAUUCCUGGUGUAGCGGUGAAAUGCGCAGAUAUCAGGAGGAACACCGGUGGCGAAGGCGGGUCUCUGGGCCGAUAUUGACGCUGAGGAGCGAAAGCGUGGGGAGCGAACAGG